UUUCCGUAGGUGAACCUGCGGAGGGAUCAUUACAAGUGACCCCGGUCUAACCACCGGGAUGUUCAUAACUCUUUGUUGUCCGACUCUGUUGCCUCCGGGGCGACCCUGCCUUCGGGCGGGGGCUCCGGGUGGACACUUCAAACUCUUGCGUAACUUUGCAGUCUGAGUAAACUUAAUUAAUAAAUUAAAACUUUUAACAACGGAUCUCUUGGUUCUG
rnacentral:misc_RNA from 1 species